GGCCAGACUCCUACGGGAGGCAGCAGUGGGGAAUAUUGCACAAUGGGGGGAACCCUGAUGCAGCAAUGCCGCGUGAAGGAUGAAGGUUUUCGGAUUGUAAACUUCUUUUGUACGGGACGAAGAAAGUGACGGUACCGUAAGAAUAAGCCACGGCUAACUACGUGCCAGCAGCCGCGGUAAUACGUAGGUGGCAAGCGUUAUCCGGAUUUACUGGGUGUAAAGGGCGAGUAGGCGGGAUUGCAAGUCAGAUGUGAAAACUAUGGGCUCAACCCAUAGCCUGCAUUUGAAACUGUAUUUCUUGAGUGCUGGAGAGGCAAUCGGAAUUCCGUGUGUAGCGGUGAAAUGCGUAGAUAUACGGAGGAACACCAGUGGCGAAGGCGGAUUGCUGGACAGUAACUGACGCUGAGGCGCGAAAGCGUGAGGAGCAAACAGGAUUAGAUACCCCUGUA
rnacentral:rRNA from 1 species